CAGCACUUUACAGAGUUUCAGUAAUGCAGACCUUGUGGAUGAAGAGGCCUUGCUGGGGGAGAGCGGCUGCUCUACGCCACAGUGGAGGUGCUACGCCAAGUACAUCAGCUCGCAGCAGAUCCUCCUCACCUUCCUUCCUGCUUCCUUCACAGAUGUUCUGAAGUUGAUGGCGUCAGGGCUGGAGACAGAGCCUCAGAGUAACGUCAGCACGCAGGAGGACGACACGCUGAC